rnacentral:tRNA from 1 species
GUCCCCAUAGCUCAACGGAUAGAGUACAGGUUUCCUAAACCUGGUAUGUAGGUUCAAUUCCUACUGGGGACA